AAAUAUUUGAGCGUUGGUGUAGACGUGUAAAUAUUUGAGCGUUGGUGUAGACGUGUAAAUAUUUGCGCGUUGAUGUAGACGUGUAAAUAUUAGAGGGUUGGUGUAGACGUGUAGAUGUGUAGACGUGUAAAUAUUUGAGCGUUGGUGUAGAUGUAUAGACGUGUAAAUAUUUGAGCGUUGGUGUAGACGUGUAAAUAUUUGAGCGUCGGUGUAGACGUGUAGACGUGUAAAUAUUUGAGCGUUGGUGUAGACAUGUAAAUAUUAGAGGGUUGGUGUAGACGUGUAGAUGUGUAGACGUGUAAAUAUUUGAGCGUUGGUGUAGAUGUAUAGACGUGUAAAUAUUUGAGCGUUCGUGUAGACACGUAAAUAUUAGAGGGUUGGUGUAGACGUGUAGAUGUGUAGACGUGUAAAUAUUUG
ensembl:lncRNA